rnacentral:rRNA from 1 species
CAGUCGCCACGGGAAUACGUAGGUGGCGAGCGUUGUUCGGAAUUAUUGGGCGUAAAGCGCGCGUAGGCGGUUUUUUAAGUCUGAUGUGAAAGCCCACGGCUCAACCGUGGAGGGUCAUUGGAAACUGGAAAACUUGAGUGCAGAAGAGGAAAGUGGAAUUCCAUGUGUAGCGGUGAAAUGCGCAGAGAUAUGGAGGAACACCAGUGGCGAAGGCGACUUUCUGGUCUGUAACUGACGCUGAUGUGCGAAAGCGUGGGGAUCAAACAGGAUUAGAUACCCGCGUAGUCCCUGUCUCUUAUAC